ACGGGCUUUUGCAUCAACUUUCAAACAGAAAAAAACUUCUCGUCUCCGCCCAUUUCACAUUACGGUCAGGCGGCGGGUCUCGCAGCGCUUGUUGAGAUUGUGUGCGCACACAUUGCAGUUACGCCCCAAUCGCAACACGCGGCGCGUUUUUCUCUUGAAUUAUUUUUGCUUUAUUUUUGGCGAAAAUGAGUUUUCUUUU
ensembl:ncRNA C37H5.15 ncRNA